rnacentral:rRNA from 1 species
CCCUAUGGGGUUGGAGCCCUACUUGCUUUACCGGCUGGGGCAGCGAAUGCAGUAUAGCCAAAUGGAGGUAGAGCGUGUGCUCGAUUGCAUGGAGUGCGGUUCUUGCAGCUUUGAGUGUCCGGCUAACUUGUUUUUGCUCGACUUUAUCAGGCUAGGCAAGGUUGAGGUAGGCAAAAUUGUUAGGGAGCGGAAAAAUUAACAUUUAAAGUAUAUACUGACAGUAACCUUUUAAACGAAUGGAUAAUCGUUUUGUAGUUUCACCAUCGCCCCAUGUGCAUAGCGGCAAAUCGACCAGCCAGCUGAUGCUGAAUGUGGUUUUAGCGCUGAUGCCGGCGUUUGCCGUUUCCAUUUACUACUUUGGCGGGGGAGC